rnacentral:rRNA from 1 species
GGCCUAACACAUGCAAGUCGAGCGGGCGUAGCAAUACGUCAGCGGCAGACGGGUGAGUAACACGUGGGAACGUACCUUUUGGUUCGGAACAACACAGGGAAACUUGUGCUAAUACCGGAUAAGCCCUUACGGGGAAAGAUUUAUCGCCGAAAGAUCGGCCCGCGUCUGAUUAGCUAGUUGGUGAGGUAACGGCUCACCAAGGCGACGAUCAGUAGCUGGUCUGAGAGGAUGAUCAGCCACACUGGGACUGAGACACGGCCCAGACUCCUACGGGAGGCAGCAGUGGGGAAUAUUGGACAAUGGGCGCAAGCCUGAUCCAGCCAUGCCGCGUGAGUGAUGAAGGCCCUAGGGUUGUAAAGCUCUUUUGUGCGGGAAGAUAAUGACGGUACCGCAAGAAUAAGCCCCGGCUAACUUCGUGCCAGCAGCCGCGGUAAUACGAAGGGGGCUAGC